rnacentral:lncRNA from 1 species
CCAAGAUAAUCAAGAAUUAAGUUUCCCAAUCCAAGAACUCUCCAGCAAAUCAUCAAGGUUUCCUUUCUAAGGUAUGCGUGUGUUCAUUCAUGGACUCCUUUCGUCCAUGAAGUUCAAGAACCCUUUUCUAAAACUAUAUAUUAUGGUUUUCAUGUUAUGAAUGGAUUGUUGAUCAUGUUUAUGUGUUGAAUGAUGCCAAGAUAGAAUCUUUAUGUG